UACGGAGGGGGCCAGCGUUGUUCGGAAUUAUUGGGCGUAAAGGGCGCGUAGGCGGUCGGGUAAGUCUGACGUGAAAUCCCUUGGCUCAACCAAGGAACUGCGUCUUAAACUGCCCGGCUUGAGUCCGGGAGAGGGAUGCGGAAUUCCAGGUGUAGCGGUGAAAUGCGUAGAUAUCUGGAGGAACACCGGUGGCGAAGGCGGCAUCCUGGACCGGCAUUGACGCUAAAGCGCGAAAGCCAGGGGAGCAAACGGG
rnacentral:rRNA from 1 species